GUGAAUCAUCGAAUCUUUGAACGCACAUUGCGCCCGCCAGUAUUCUGGCGGGCAUGCCUGUUCGAGCGUCAUUACAACCCUCGCGUCCUAGCAUGCGGUGUUGGGGACUAGCUUUACCGCUAUCCCUUAAACUCAGUGGCAGCGUAACCGCCCUUCCUCUGCGUAGUAACUACCUCGCCCUGGAAGACGGAGUCGUCUCGCCGUAAAACCCCAACUUUUAUGAGUUUGACCUCGGAUCAGGUAGGAAUACCCGCUGAACUUAAGCAUAUCAAUAAGCGGAGGA
rnacentral:misc_RNA from 1 species